GCGCAUUCAGCCGAAGAGGAGGAGAGGAGGCGGAGAUCUCCCUGUCCGGCGCUGGAGAAAGGUAAGAUUUUAACCCCUUCCUCUCCCCAGAGCCCGGCAGGAGGGGGACCCUGAGGGUGGGGGCACCCUCAGGGCACUAUAGUGCCAGUAAAACGAGUAUGUUUUCCUGGCACUAUAGUGGUCCUUUAAGAAAGAAAAAAGUGAGUGCUCUCUCAUACUAUUGUUACUAUUGUAGAAGGUGGAAACAGCUGGGGAGAGCAUUUGGCUUAGGAAG